CCUACGGGAGGCUGCAGUGAGGAAUAUUGGUCAAUGGGCGCGAGCCUGAACCAGCCAAGUCGCGUGAAGGAUGACUGCCCUACGGGUUGUAAACUUCUUUUAUAAAGGAAUAAAGUGAGGCACGUGUGCCUUUUUGGAUGUAAUUUGUGAAUAAGGAUCGGCUAACUCCGUGCCAGCAGCCGCGGUAAUACGGAGGGUGCGGGCGUUUAUCGGAAUUACUGGGGGUAAAGCGCUCGUAGGGGGUAUGUCAAGUGCAGGGUGAAAUCCCCGCGCUCAACGUGGGAAGUGCCUUUGAAACUGGCGAACUGGAGUGGGUGAGAGGAUAGUGGAAUGCCAGGUGCAGGAGUGAAAUGCGUAGAUAUCUGGAGGAACAUCAGUGGCGAAGGCGACUAUCCGGCACAUAACUGACGCUGAGGAGCGAAAGCGUGGGUAGCAAACAGGAUUAGAUACCCUGGUAGUC
rnacentral:rRNA from 1 species